rnacentral:rRNA from 1 species
AGGUUAAGUUAGUAAGGGCGCACGGUGGAUGCCUUGGCACUAGGAGCCGAAGAAGGACGUGACAAACGACGAAAUGCCUUGGGGAG